rnacentral:misc_RNA from 1 species
GGAAGGAUCAUUCAAAUUCUUCAAACAAAAAUCUCAGCUGGUGUGAAUCACUUCUUGUUUUAUUAUACUACAAAUUUUUAUACUUUCAACGAUGGAUGUCUCGGGUCUCUCAACGAAGAAGAGCGCAGCAAACUGCGAUAAGCAGCAUGACAAGCACUUACAUGAAUCAUCAGAUUCUUGAACGCAAAUGGCAGUUGUUUGGUUCUCCAACGACUAUGUUUGUUUCAGUGUCAUAUAAAGACAUUCUCUUUGUGUAAAGAGGUUAUGACAGUUACAACUGUAUCUGUUAAAAGUUUAAUUGCUAACUCAACAAGCAACAUACGGAGUAUCCCGCUUUGCUGUUUGAUGAAGAAGCUAUUAAUUUGUGUUUUUGACCUGAAAUCAAGCAAGGUUACCCGCUGAAUUUAAGCAUAUAAUUAAGCGGAGGAAAAGAAACUAACUAGGAUUCCCUUAGUAGUGGCGAACGAAGUGGGAAUAGCCCAAACCGUUAGUCGUUUGCCUUCGGCAUUCGAAUUGAGGUUUGCUGAGUUACCAGAAGCAUACCAGGGUGAAGCCUCGUGAAUGCGAGCGUCAUAGAGGGUGAGGACCCCGUCCUUACUCUGAGUAUGUCUUCGUACGGUUCUUGGCGAAUGAGUCGUGUUCCUUGGGAGUGGAGCGCAAAAUGGGUGGUAGCUUUCAUCCACGGCUAAAUAUUGGAGAGACACCGAUAGUGAAGAAGUACCGUGAGGGAAAGAUGAAAAGAGCCUCGAGAGGGGUCUUAAAAUUGCCUGAAACCGUUGAAAGGGAAGCGAUUGGAGAUUUAGUGCUAGUGUAAGGUAUAAUCAGAUUUUGGUUGUGUCUUGCAUGCGAGCUGGCUAGGUCUGGAUUUGUUGCAGGUGUUAAACUUGUGCCUGGAUUUAUCUAGGUGGUUGUACGCUCAGCGCAAAUUUGGGCGAGAAACGUAGCCAUCGCAAAAAUCUUCAAACGACCCGUCUUGAAACACGGACCAAGGAGUCUAACUUACGUGCAAGUCCUAAGGCAGUAAACCUUGAGGCUUAAUGAAAGUGAUAGUUUUGAUCUUUGCAGAAACGACCGACUUCCGCAAGGAGGUUCGUGUAUGAGCAUGUAGGUUCGGACCCGAAAGAUGGUGAACUAUGCCUGAAUAGGGUGAAGCCAGGGGAAACCCUGGUGGUGGCUCGUAGCGAUACUGACGUGCAAAUCGUUCGUCAAAUUUGGGUAUAGGGGCGAAAGACUAAUCGAACCAUCUAGUAGCUGGUUCCCUC